AUGGCAGGUAGACCAAUACAUGUUAAAUAUGUUGAAGUAUAAAUUAAGUACAAUAUAUGUACACAUAUCCAUGCAGUUGUUUUGCUGCAGACUUUGAAAUAGUGUACAAUUAACCUGGGAAGGAAAUCAAAAAUGCAGGCGGACAAAAAUAGAGGGAUUGGGAAUUCUAUAUAGUGGUUCACACUCAUCUCCCAGAGUUCUUUUGCUGGGUGUAGCUGAUUCAGUUCAUUAUUGUUCUAUUGGAACUCCUUUGGUUCAUCUCAUUGUUGAAGAGGGUCACGUCUACCAGAAUUGAUCAUCAUAUAUAGUAUUGUUGUUGAAGUAUAUAAUGAUCUCCUGGUCCUGCUCAUUUCACUCAGCAUCAGUUCAUGUAAGUCUCUCCAGGCCUUUCUGAAAUCCCCCUGCUGGCCAUUUCUUAGAGAACAAUAAUAUUCCAUAACAAUCAUAUACCACAAUUUAUUCAGCCAUUCUCCAAUUAAUGGGCAUCCACUCAGUUUCCAGUUUCUGGCCACUACAAAGAGGACUGCCACAAACAUUCUUGUACAUACAGGUUCCUUUCCAUUUUUUAAUAUUUCUUUGGGGUAUAAGCCCAGUAGUAACACUGCUGGAUUAAAGGGUAUGCACAGGUUGAUAACUUUUUGAGGAUAGUGCCAAAUUGCUCUCCAGAAUGGCUGGAUGUAUUCACAGUUCCACCAACAAUGUAUCAGUAUCCCAGUUUUCCCCCAUCCCCUCCAAUAUUCAGCAUUAUCUUUCCCUGUCAUUCUAGCCAAUCUGAGAGGUGUGUAGUGAUAUCUCAGAGUUGUCUUAAUUUGCAUUUCUCUGAUUAAUAAUGACUUGGAGUAUCUUUUCAUAUGGCUAGAAAUAGUUUCUAUUUCUUCAUCUGAGAAUUGUCUGUUCAUAUCCUUUCACCAUUUAUCAAUCGGAGAAUGGCUUGAUUUCUUAUAAAUUAGAGUCAGUUCUCUAUAUAUUUUGGAAAUGAGGCCUUUAUCAGAACCUUUGUCUGUAAAAAUGUUUUCCCAGUUUAUUGCUUCCCUUCUAAUCUUGUCUACAUUAGUUUUGUUUGUACAAAAGCUUUUCAAUUUGAUAUAAUCAAAAGUUUCCAAUUUGGGAUCAAUAAUGAUCUCUACUUCUUUGGUCAUAAAUUCCUUCCUCCUCCACAGGUCUGAGAGGUAAACUAUCCUAUAUUCCUCUAAUUUAUGAUCUUGUUCUUUAUGCCUAAAUCAUGGACCCAUUUUGAUCUUAUCUUGGUGUACGGUGUUAAUUGUGGGUCAAUGCCUAGUUUUUGCCAUACUAAUUUCCAAUUUUCCCAGCAAUUUUUGUGAAACAGUGAAUUCUUAUCCCAAAAGCUGGGAUAUUUGGGUUUGUCAUAUACUAGAUUAUUAAAGUUAUUGACUAUUUUUUAUUUGAACCUAACCUAUUCCACUGAUCAACUAGUCUAUUUCUUAGCCAAUACCAAAUGGUUUUGGUAACUGCUACUUUAUAAUAUAAUUUUAGAUCUGGUACAGCUAGGCCAACUUCAUUUGAUUUUUUUUUUCAUUAGUUUCCUUGAAAUUCUUGACCUUUUGUUCUUCCAUAUGAACUUUGUUGUUAUUUUUUCUAGGUCAUUAAAAUAGAUUUUGGGGAGUCUGAUAGGUAUAGCACUAAAUAAAUAGAUUAGUUUAGGUAAUAUUGUCAUCUUUAUUAUAUUUGCUCGUCCUAUCCAAGAACACUUAAUAUUUUUCCAAUUGGUUAGAUAUAACUUUAUUUGUGUAAAAACUGUUUUGUAGUUUUGCUCAUAUAAUUCCUGACUUUCCCUUGGCAAACAGAUUCCCAUAUAUUUUAUACUAUCGAUAAUUACCUUAAAUGGAAUAUCUCUUUGUAACUCUAUUGUUGGAUUUUGUUAGUGAUAUAUAAGAAUGCUAAUGAUUUAUGUGUGUUUAUUUUGUAUCCUGCAACUUUGCUAAAGGUGUGGAUUAUUGCUAAUAAAAAU
ensembl:lncRNA